rnacentral:rRNA from 1 species
UACGUAGGUGGCAAGCGUUUGUCCGGAAUUACUGGGCGUAAAGCGCACGUAGGCGGAUAUUUAAGUCAGGGGUGAAAUCCCAGAGCUCAACUCUGGAACUGCCUUUGAUACUGGGUAUCUUGAGUAUGGAAGAGGUGAGUGGAAUUCCGAGUGUAGAGGUGAAAUUCGUAGAUAUUCGGAAGAACACCAGUGGCGAAGGCGGCUCACUGGACCGGUAUUGACGCUGAGGUGCGAAAGCGUGGGGAGCAAACAGG